rnacentral:rRNA from 1 species
CCUACGGGGGGCUGCAGUGAGGAAUAUUGGUCAAUGGACGAGAGUCUGAACCAGCCAAGUAGCGUGAAGGAUGACUGCCCUAUGGGUUGUAAACUUCUUUUAUAUGGGAAUAAAACGUUCCACGUGUGGGAUUUUGUAUGUACCAUAUGAAUAAGGAUCGGCUAACUCCGUGCCAGCAGCCGCGGUAAUACGGAGGAUCCGAGCGUUAUCCGGAUUUAUUGGGUUGAAAGGGAGCGUAGGUGGAUUGUUAAGUCAGUUGUGAAAGUUUGCGGCUCAACCGUAAAAUUGCAGUUGAAACUGGCAGUCUUGAGUACAGUAGAGGUGGGCGGAAUUCGUGGUGUAGCGGUGAAAUGCUUAGAUAUCACGAAGAACUCCGAUUGCGAAGGCAGUUCACUGGACUGCAACUGACGCUGAGGCUCGAAAGUGUGGGUAUCAAACAGGAUUAGAUACCCGUGUAGUC